CCUACGGGAGGCAGCAGUGGGGAAUAUUGGGCAAUGGAGGAAACUCUGACCCAGCAACGCCGCGUGAAUGAUGAAGGUCUUCGGAUUGUAAAGUUCUUUUCUAAGGGAAGAAGAAAGUGACGGUACCUUAGGAAUAAGCCUCGGCUAACUCCGUGCCAGCAGCCGCGGUAAUACGUAGGAGGCAAGCGUUAUCCGGAAGGACUGGGCGGAAAGGGGGCGUAGGUGGUUUGACAAGUUGGUAGCGUAACUCCGGGGCUCAACCUCGGCACUACUACCAAAACUGUCGGACUUGAGUGCAGGAGGGGCAAAUGGAAUUCCUAGUGUAGCGGUGGAAUGCGUAGAUAUUAGGAGGAACACCAGUGGCGAAGGCGAUUUGCUGGACUGUAACUGACACUGAGGCACGAAAGCGUGGGGAGCAAACAGGAUUAGAUACCCUGGUAGUC
rnacentral:rRNA from 1 species